CUUUAUUGCAUGUCUGCAUUUACCCCAGAAACCUGGCCAGUUCCUCGAGUAAACAUCCUUCUAAAGGAAUGAACAAAUAUUUUCCUUGGUGGGCCUCUUGUGAUGGAGCAUCCUAUUACCUGGGAGGCUGCUCUGUCUCAAGAGUCACAUAACAAAUGAGAAUACUUAGCACAGUGACUUCUUUGUUCUCAGCCUAUUAAAACCCUUUAGUGGAAAGGGACCUUGAAAAUUCAGCUAGGAAGUACUGUACAGCUACUCUAGCAAUUCCUCCCACUCGAAACUCUAUGACCAAGGAUUUUCCCAGCCAAGAAAUUCAGAUAUUGGUGCUUCUGUGAAGUGGUGAUGACGAUGAAGAAUUACAUCUUCUAUCAGAAUACAUCUUCAUACAGUAUCGUUGUUGAAGUAUGUAAUGAUCGCCUGGUUCUGCUCAUUUCACUUAGCAUCAGUUCAUAUCAUGGACCCAUUUUGAUCUUAUCUUGGUAUAUGGUGUUAAGUGUGGGUCCAUG
rnacentral:lncRNA from 1 species